UAACAAGGAUUCCCCUAGUAACUGCGAGUGAAGCGGGAAGAGCUCAAAUUUAAAAUCUGGCGGCCUUCUGGACGUCCGAGUUGUAGUCUGGAGAAGUGUUAUCCGCGUCGGACCGUGUACAAGUCUCCUGGAACGGAGCGUCAUAGAGGGUGAGAAUCCCGUCCAUGACACGGACGCCCGAUGCUAUGUGAGGCACUCUCGAAGAGUCGAGUUGUUUGGGAAUGCAGCUCAAAAUGGGUGGUAAAUUCCAUCUAAAGCUAAAUAUUGGCGAGAGACCGAUAGCGAACAAGUACCGUGAGGGAAAGAUGAAAAGCACUUUGGAAAGAGAGUUAAACAGUACGUGAAAUUGUUGAAAGGGAAACGCUUGAAGUCAGUCGCGUCCCGUGGAACUCAGCCUGGUUUCGACCUGGUGUACUUUCCAUGUGGACGGGUCAACAUCAAUUUCGGCCGGUGGACAAGGGCGAGGGGAAUGUAGCGUUGCUUCGGCGACGUGUUAUAGCCCCCCGUCGCAUACACUGGCUGGGAUUGAGGACCGCAGCACGCCCUUGUGGCCGGGGGGUUCGCCCCACGUAACGUGCUUAGGAUGUUGGCAUAAUGGCUUUAAGCGACCCGUCUUGAAACACGGACCAAGGAGUCUAACAUGCUUGCGAGUGUUCGGGUGGAAAACCCUUGCGCGUAAUGAAAGUGAAAGUUGGGAACCUCCGCGAGGGGGUGCACCGACGCCCGGCCCUGACGUUCUCUGACGGUGCCGCGGUAGAGCACGUAUGUUGGGACCCGAAAGAUGGUGAACUAUGCCUGAAUAGGGCGAAGCCAGAGGAAACUCUGGUGGAGGCUCGUAGCGAUUCUGACGUGCAAAUCGAUCGUCAAAUUUGGG
rnacentral:rRNA from 1 species